UACAGAGGGUGCAAGCGUUGCUCGGAAUCACUGGGCGUAAAGGGUGCGUAGGCGGGUCUUUAAGUCAGGGGGGAAAUCCUGGAGCUCAACGCCAGAACUGCCUUUGAUACUGGGGAUCUCGAGUCCGGAAGAGGUGAGUGGAACUCCGAGUGUAGAGGUGAAAUCCGUAGAUAUUCGGAAGAACACCAGUGGCGAAGGCGGCUCACUGGUCCGGUACUGACGCUGAGGCGCGAAAGCCAGGGGAGCAAACGGG
rnacentral:rRNA from 1 species